rnacentral:lncRNA from 1 species
CAGACUACUGGCUGAACUGGCUGACUAGACACAAACACACCAGGAUCAGACUACUGGCUGAACUGGCUGACUAGACACAAACACACCGCUGAUGAAGAGGAUCAGACUACUGGCUGAACUGGCUGACUAGACACAAACACACCAGGAUCAGACUACUGGCUGAACUGGCUGACUAGACACAAACACAUCGCUGAUGAAGAGGAUCAGACUACUGGCUGAACUGGCUGACUAGACACAAACACACGAGGAUCAGACUACUGGCUGAACUGGCUGACUAGACACAAACACACGAGGAUCAGACUACUGGCUGAACUGGCUGACUAGACACAAACACACCGUCGAUGAAGAGGAUCAGACUACUGGCUGAACUGGCUGACUAGACACAAACACACCGUCGAUGAAGAGGAUCAGACUACUGGCUGAACUGGCUGACUAGACACAAACACAUCUCUGAUGAAGAGGAUCAGACUACUGGCUGAACUGGCUGACUAGACACAAACACACCGUCGAUGAAGAGGAUCAGACUACUGGCUGAACUGGCUGACUAGACACAAACACACCGCUGAUGAAGAGGAUCAGACUACUGGCUGAACUGGCUGACUAGACACAAACACACCGUCGAUGAAGAGGAUCAGAUUACUGGCUGAACUGGCUGACUAGACACAAACACACCGUCGAUGAAGAGGAUCAGACUACUGGCUGAACUGGCUGACUAGACACAAACACAUCUCUGAUGAAGAGGAUCAGACUACUGGCUGAACUGGCUGACUAGACACAAACACACCGUCGAUGAAGAGGAUCAGACUACUGGCUGAACUGGCUGACUAGACACAAACACACGAGGAUCAGACUACUGGCUGAACUGGCUGACUAGACACAAACACACCGCUGAUGAAGAGGAUCAGAUUACUGGCUGAACUGGCUGACUAGACACAAACACACCGCUGAUGAAGAGGAUCAGACUACUGGCUGAACUGGCUGACUAGACACAAACACACCGUCGAUGAAGAGGAUCAGACUACUGGCUGAACUGGCUGACUAGACACAAACACACCGUCGAUGAAGAGGAUCAGACUACUGGCUGAACUGGCUGACUAGACACAAACACAUCGCUGAUGAAGAGGAUCAGAUUACUGGCUGAACUGGCUGACUAGACACAAACACAUCUCUAUGAACAUACACUAAGUGGACAAAACAUUAAGAACACCUGCUCUUUUCCAUCACAUAGACUGACCGACCAGGUGAAUCCAGGUGAAUCCAGGUGAAAGCUCUGAUCCCUUAUUGACAUCACUUUUUAAAGAUUUUUUUUUUUUAAAGCCUUGAGACAAUAGAGUACCACAGUAUAAUACCCAUAAAACCUAGCGGUCAAAUAGGAAAACGGUUCCAACAUUCCUUUUUCCACGUAGGGGAUUUUAGAAAUACUUAAAAUAAGGACUGUGUUUCGUGUAGGUUUACCCUGGCGUGACGUUUUGAUAACUGUGUAAAUCUCUCUCUAAGACAAAGGUGACUUGGAUCAAUAUAUUCCCCUUGUGUAAACGUUUCUAAAAUCUCUGAAUGGAACCAUUUCCUUGUUCGACCGCUAGGCUUUAUGGGUAUUAUGACACCUCCGCUGUGGGGCCUCUAUUGAGACAUGGAUUCAGAGGCUGAAUGGGCAAAGACCAAAAUGUAAGUGUCUUUGAAUGGGGUGCUUGGGUUUUUCACUCUCAACAGUUUCCUGUCUGUAUCAAAAGGACAUCCAGCCAAUUUGACACAACUGUAGGAAGUAUUAGAGUCAACAUGGGCCAGCGUCCCUGUCGAACGCUUUAGACACCUUGUAGAGUCCAUGUCCCGACUAGUUGAGGCUGUUCUGACGGCAAGAGGGGGAGAAAACUCAAUAUUAGGAAGGUGUUCUUAAUGUUUUGUCCACUCAGUGUAUGUAAUUGCAAUUUUUCUAAAUACUUUUGACAUGAUAAAAACAAGUUUUAUAUUCAUAUAAUUAGUUUGUCGAUGUACAUAAUAUUUUCUACAAUAUUUUUUCAGUAAAACAACUUCUGAAAGUACAGCAGUAUAGCAUGGAUUUUUCUGUAACUGUGCAGUUUGACAGCAACGCCACAAGGGUUUGCUUGAGACCUCAUUAAAACCAAUAAUGCCAAUAGGUGUCCUUACAGCGACAACCAGGCUUUAAAGAAG